rnacentral:rRNA from 1 species
CUACGGGUCGCUGCAGUCGAGGAAAUUUUACAAUGCUCGCAAGAGUGAUAGAAUGAGCCAGAGUGUUUCUCUUAGAGAAACUUUUUUUGAUGUAAAGAGUCAGAAGAAUAAGGACUGGGCAAGACCGGUGGCAGCCGCCGCGGUAAUACCGGCGGUCCAAGUCGCAUCCACAUUUAUUGGGUCUAAAACAUUCGUAGCUUGUUUUGUAAGUCUCUUGUGAAAUCUAACAUCUCAAGUGUUAGGCGUGCAAGAGAUACUGCAUCACUAGAGACCGGAAGAUGCAAAGAGUAUGGUUGAGGUAGCGGUAAAAUGUGUUAAUCUCAAUUAGACUAACAAUGGCGAAGGCACUUUGCAAGUACGGAUCUGACAGUGAGGAAUGAAGGCUAGGGGCGCAAAAGGGAUUAGAUACCCCAGUAGUC